CCUUGUACACACCGCCCGUCAAGCCACGAAAGAGAGGGACAUCCGAAGUCGUCUUCACAGACGCCGAAGAUGGACUUCUUGAUUGGGACU
rnacentral:rRNA from 1 species